GUUGUUGGACCCAGUGACGGUAAAGGCGUGACUCACAGGUCCUCUGUUUAACUGCCUGAGGAGAGGGUGUGAUUAGGAGCACUCAGAGGCCAGACGAGGAUCCUGAGCCUGGAGCCAGGGAGUUACAAAACCACGAGCAGUAAACGUGAUCACGUGCGUUUAGGAGACACCCACACACAAAAAUCACAACCAGCCUCCUCUCAUCGUUGCCCUCAUUUGACAACGGGGACAAGCAGAAUUUAAACAACACGUUGUGAGGUGUUUAGAGAGCGGGUUUAACAAAUUGGUGCAAAAGCUGUCAGAUAUAAAAUGGAAAAGGACGUCCUGGACUAUCUUCUGUGCUUUCUAUAAUGUGCCUGCACCAUGGGAGGAGCAGGAAGGUGCCAAGGGCACCAGCAGCCCAAUGUCCUAACAGUGGGUUUACUCGUUGCUGCUGUGCCUUAAAUCACAUCCUGCUGCGAAGAAUGCACCACCACAGACAUCAGAGCACCCAUAAAGCCGAUUGAUGCGACAUGCCUGCUGGCACAGUGAGCCACUCAUGUUGAAUUUUAAUUGUCGUGUAAGCUGCUGCAAUCUAUUAAACAUCCAAUAAACAGCAUCCUGUCGUUCUGCUCCCCGGGCCCAGAUCCUCCGGCGACCCCAGACUUUGUGACGACCGAGAGCUUCCUGAAGAUUCCCAACAAAUUUCCCUUUUUUGUCUUCAAGGUUCCCAUGUCACGGUCGAGUACGCUGCAUCCACUUCAAAGCCCAAGAAAACAGACAUCUCCAGUAUAUUAUUUUGGGAUCAAAGAGAUAUUUAAUGCAUUUUAAACUGCACAGAUUGUACAAUGUAGAUAAAACAGUGUCUUUAUUUAAGUUAACAGAUUAGCACAGUUUCUCAGUUGUCUUUUGUUAAAAGUGGUUUUCAGUGUUUAAACCGCCGAUUGUUCUAAAUGUUUUAUUAAAUCUUCUGUGUGA